rnacentral:lncRNA from 1 species
UUUUCGAUCACGAGUGCAAUUAAGGAAAUAAACCUUGACACUGAAGAAAUAUCAAAUAUUUUGACUGAUAUAGAGAGUAACGUGCAUUCUAUGGAUUACGAUUAUACAAAUAAAUAUAUUUAUUUUGCUAGAGAAGAUAAAGACGACAUAUCAAGGUAUGUCUAGAGAUUUAAGAUUUUGUCAUUGAAGUCAGCUGGGUUCGUGUUGCUCAGUCGUUAGUUAUCUAUAAUGUAUUUUGUAUAUACUAUUGUUUGUCUUUUGGGUCUUUUUCCUUUUUCUAGUCGUGUCAUUGUCAGUCUAUGUUCGACUGCUGGGUUUGAAUUACCUUCUGGUAUCUUUCGCCUCUCUUAAACUAUUCCAAAUAAUUUGAGGUCGCUGAUAUGAAUCCGGAAAAAAAACUCAACCAAUCUUUGGAUACAUAAGUAACACCGACCUUUUAAGACCCUAAUGUUGCUAAGAAGUGUGUGUAGCUAUAGGUCAUAUUACAUCAGCUGCUUGAUAAAGGAAUAAUUAGAUAUAAGUAAUUCAUUUGGAACAAAAUAUACCCCAUGUAUUUGUAUAGUAUAAUCUUUCCAAAACUUAAAGACAAAUUAAAAGAGUUGGUCGUAUUGUGUCUACGUCGAUACAAAUAUAAAGACCAAUGAUUAAAUAAAGAAAAACCACUAUCAUUAUCAUGGAUGGUUGAUUGACAACAAAUGCCUGUCGAUUGGAGAGCAUGUUUUUCAACGAACAAAUGGCAUUCCGAAAGGAAUCAACUGUGCUCCUCUUUUUCCAGACUUGUUUCGUUAAUCAUAUCAUGCAAACUUCGUACAGGGACUUCAUAAGAAGAAUGAAAAUAUAUCACAUAAUAAUUUUAACGAAACUCUUUCCAGAUAAAUGAUAUCGUCUCACUAAGACAUUUACAGACUCCAUCAUGAGUUGGUUGACCGUCAUAUAGUGUAUCUAUCACAUGUAACGAAGGACUAUUCCAAUUCACAAUCUCGAGGUUUUUCUUCAAAUAUGACAACAACAAAUAAGACUUAUUAUUUGUACUCACACGAGUAAUACGAAGGGACCACAGUGGUAGAAUGAUCUGCCAACCUGUCAGACCACCUGUAAUUGAUCUUAUUUUAGGAUUUAUGUUGCUCUGACAUUAGUUUUCUAUGUUGUAUUUAAAUAGUUAUCAAAAGUACCAGGAUUAUAAUUUAGUACGCCAGACGCGCGUUUCGUCUACAUAAGAUUCAUCAGUGACGCUCAUAUCAAAAUAGUUAUAAAGCCAAACAAUACAAAGUUGAAGAGCAUAAAGGAUCCAAAAUUCCAAAAAGUUGUGCCAAAUACGGCAAGGUAAUCUUUUCCUGGGACAAGAAAAUCCUUAGUUUUUUUUCGAAAAUUUCAAAGUUUGUAUCAGAAAUUUAAUAAACGUCACAUUUAUUGAUAUUCAUGUCAACACCGAAUGCUGACUACUGGGCUGGUGUACCCUCGGAACGAAAACUCCACAACAGUGCAUCGACCGUGGUGGAAAUAGUUAUCAAAAGUCCAGGAAUUAUAAUUUAGUACGCCAGACGCGCGUUUCGUCUACAUAAGACUCAUCAGUGACACUCAUAUCAAAAUAGUUAAACACUGUCGUUUAUCUUUUUUGUAGUCUUCAGCUUUCUGUCAUGGAUUUACAAUCGCUUUAAAUUUCCAUCUUCCUUAUAAUAAAUUCUUAUUUUACAUUUAUCAAUUUAUCAAAUUACCCAGACCUUAAAUUGUUCCCAAACAUAAAAUGAAAAUCGUAGUUUGUUCUUACUAUAUUCUAGGUUGAUUAUUUGAAAAAGUAUAUUUUUGUAAUAAAAAAUGGUAGAAUUCAACGUGUUUUUUCCCUACCAAUGGUGUGGUAAACAAUAAACGAAACUCUUGAAAAAAGAUAAUUUUUUUUCGAAUUGAAAAUAAUUCGUCUCUUAUUAUUUCAUGUUUCUUUGUGUACGAUUCAUUUACAUUGAAAGAAUCAACAUUAUAUCCAAUAAAAUGCGUAUAAUCAUUCUCGAUUUCAUACACCAUGCAUCAUACACCUUCACCGAACUUCAUUAGACAAUUACACCAUACAUUAUAAGGCCAUUCACUUUUUAAUUGGAAGUUUUCACCAUCCAAGGACUGUAAACAUAAUAACAUACAAAAUUGUAUGAAAUGUUGCUGAAUAGUAUUGAAUCGAGUGCAAGACAAAUAGUACUAAAUUAACAACGCGAAAUAUCUAAAAAAAAAAAUUAGAGUUACAGUCUUAGCAUAUCUUUUACUCUUCCGGGGCACCUGAUGUCAUCCCCAGUUUUUAGUGGGGUUCGUGUGGCUUAGUCUUUAGUUUUCUAUGUUGUGUCUUCUGUACUAUUAUUUGUCUGUUUGUCUUUUUAUUUUGAGCCAGGGCGUUGUCAGUAUAUUUUCAAGCUAUGAGUUUAAAGGUACCUUCUGGGACCUUUAGUGCCUCUUUUAAAGAUAUCAUGUUUAAGAUUCAUUUUUUUCAGAUAAAAUGAACUGUUUAAAUGUAAAAUAAAAGUCAUUCACAAAUUUCACUUUAUCAUUGAAAUCGAAAGUUGGCGUUUGAUUCAAGUACUUUGAAAUAAAAUGUGGCAUUACUAUUCUCCGCUUUCUAAGGGGCGUAGUUAUUUUUAAAUCAUCACCACGUAGAUCUUAUCAAGGUAUUUGAAAUCUUUUUUUUUGGCUAUAUCUGGAAGCCAGGGUACAUAUAUCUAUGACUUUUCCCUCUAAGUUCUUACCCUGUAUGCUAGAAACUUAACUAUUCUUUAUUUUCAGACAUUUUAUUCUUUACUAAAUAUCUUAAUUCUUAUAGAAAUGUUUUCGAUAAAUCAAUACUAAAUUUUAUUUGAAGAUUUCGUUAUCCAGAAAAUCCAGGUAAAAGCUACACAAAAGUGACCGAUGCAGAUAACCCG